CGCAUGCCUAGGCCUCCCAAAGUGCUGAGAUUACAGGUGUGAGCCACUGUGCCCGGCCUGUCGGAGGAGUUCUGGAGUGUGUGUUGCCAUGCCAGCAUCACUACAAUGGAAACAAUGAGCUCAGCCAGCCCCUCCCACAGUGUCUGCACCCCCUCUGCAGCCCUCCUUCCCCAGGCAGCCACCAGUGUGUCUGUCAUCCUGCGUAGGUCUGCACUUUCUAGACAUUUACACAAAUGCAUUCACAUGGCAUAUAGUUUUUGCUGUGAUUCUUUAGGCAUAAUUACUGUGCAUUUCACCCAUGCCGUUACAUGGACGAACAGCUCGUUCCCUUUUAUUAUUAAGUGAGAGUUGAGGAUGUUGCAGUUGAUGGUGGGUUCCAGCAGGUGCUACAGAUGCUCAGGGAUGGUUGAGUCUCUUGGGAGGGGCAGGGCACAGAUGGAGAUGACACAUACUGCUGGGUGAAGAGUGGUCACUGGGCCUGGCACUAAGGCAGCAAGCCAGGGUCCCCUCAGCCCUUGGACGAAAGCCCUUCAGCACCCCCGGCUGGAGAGGUGGCCUCAGCCAUCAGCCAGUGGUGGUGCUUCUCCUUGGUGCCCCUAAGUGGGUAAGGUUGUGUCUCAGAAGGGUGACUUUGGUAGAAGUUCACAGAAUGUUCUGGAAAGGUGAGUGACCAGCUACAGGAGGUCACGCAGGAGGCGGUGGCAGCUGCUGAGAUGAGGGGAGUGAGGGCCAGGAUCACAGCUAUGAAGAGGGAAACAGGGAAAGGCAUGGAGAGGCGGACACUGUGGGAGCGCCCCCCAGAGCCACUGCCUGAGCUGAGUGACAGGGAGUGGCAGGAGGUGGUUAGCAGGAGAAUGAAAGACCCAGCUUGCUGGGAGACUGGCAACGUGAGCCACAGAAUGCACAGCCGAAGCCAUGCUCUGUGGCAAGAGGCACCCGGCCUCAGUGCUGGAAAGCACAUCACCAGGCUGCAGGAAGAGCCAGGUGGUGAUGAACUGCAAUGAGAUUUCCACUUGAUUUGGCCUCAGGAAGAGCCUGGACCUUGCGCUGACUGACACUCUGCAAGUGUGGGGGCUGCACCGCUCAUGAAAGCAGCUGGGUCUGGUGAGACCAAGGCAGAGCUGGCGCUCAAGCCCAUUUCCAAAGUCCUGUUAAGGAAAUAUCUAGCAGUAGGAUGUUUUUCAGGUCUUUCUGACACAGGUGACAGUAGCAGGAUUUUAUUGGAAGGCCCCACACAGGUCAGGAUUUUACUACGAAUAUACUUGCAUAAUGCCCGUCCCCGAGGGAGAAAAGAACAUUGACCAUAAGGAGCAAGAAAAUUUAAUGAAAAUGCAAGUUUUCUUUUACCUCUUCAUUGAGGAUAAAAAAUAAAUUUUCCAAAUCUUAACUAUAUUUUCCAGGGAAGUCUCUUUUAUUCUCUGUUAUCUAGUUUUGAAUUCAAGAGGUAAGAAGUGGUGUGAUUUUGCCUUACAUCACUCCUAUGAGCCUCUGGUAUACCUGGUGUUCACUGGAAACUAAAGUGUAAGCAACUGGAAACGGAGUGACCAACUCCUCCUGGUUUACCUUCCUGGCUUUAGCACUGCCAGUCCUGUGCCCCGGAAACCCCUCAGUCUCAGGCAGCCUAGAAUGGUGCUGGCCCUGCUGGAAAUUCCCAAGGCCGCAGCCACAGCAAGGGUGGAGACAGGAGCAGGAAGCUGCAAAGAAAGGCAGCAAGGGUUGAGGCCUGUUCUCUGCUCACUUUCCUCUGGGGUUGGGGGGAAAUUAAUGGGACGUUCAGCCAAGUAAAGCAAGGAUGGGGCAGACCAAGAGGCCGAGGUCAUGAAAUUUUCCAUGAGAAACGUGCCUGCCCUGUACCAGGAAGAGGAGAAUGUUCUCAUCACCAGGGACUGGGAGCUCACCCCGAAAUGGAUCUGUACAAACCCACUAAAAUAACCCUUGUCUUUCAUUAGUCACUGCCCCACAAUGACUGCCCCUAGAAACGUGAAGCUUUCUCCUUUGUCACUUCUCCAUAAAUUUAUCAUCUUUUGUUAAAAGAGUAUGUAAGCUGUUAGUCCUAAUGGCUUCUUCGGAUCUUCAUUUUUCUUAUGAAAGUUCACAUGUGCCUGUAAAAAUAUUAAGUAAAAUAUGAUGCUUUCCUCAUGUUCA